UCCCAAUGCAAAGUCUAUGGCCAGCCGCGACCUGACGCGACUUGGCGACCGCCGGCUGCCUGCGACGCGACCUGACGCGACCUAGCGACCGGUCGCCAAGGCGCGUCCCCGAGGUCGCGUCGCCGAGGUCGCAGGACGCCAAGUCGCGUCGCUCCCAAAGUUCAAAUAUUUGAACUUUGGGAGCGACUCCGUGCCGCGACAGCCAAUCAGGGCUCUGCUGACGUCAACAAACCGGCGAAACAAGGAAGAGGAGAAGAAGAAUCACAAUGGAGGAGCAGUUAAUCACAUCCGUUAGCUACCACCCGGUGCUAUACGACGUGGGUUGCGGGCUGUACCGGGACCGCAACGCCAAAGAAGAAGCAUGGGGGAAGGUGGCCCGUGAUGUCGGGCUUUCUGGUAAGCUUGUUUGUUUAUUUAUUUAUUUCAGUGAGUGGACUGUUUUAUGAAAACAUAGAUAACUGCCCCUGCUUGCUAGGGUACAUGUUUCAACGUAUGUGUGUGUGUCUUUGCAGAGGAUGUGUGCCGCAAGCGGUGGAAGGGGCUUAGGGACGUUUAUAUGAGGGAGAAAAGGAGAGAGAAGGAAGGUGGGAGAAGCGGGUCGGCGGCCUCCCAGCAGAAGAAGUGGCGUUUCUCUGCGGUAAUGUCGUUCCUCGACCCUUUUAUGGCCCCGAGGGAGACAAGCAGCAACAUGUCUCGGGAGGUCAAGGAAGACAUCACCGCAGAAAAUGCUGCUGGGAUGCCCGAAGAGCUUGAGGAAGCAGGCCCCUCAGGAGUGGAGUUUGACGGUUAGUUGAUGAGUGAAAAAGAUAGCAAGUAAAUUUGAGUCCCCUCAUGGUUUAAACACACCAUUGUAGUCUAAUUUAAGAUGGACAGAUCAAAUCAUGCACAUAUAAUUUCUGAACAUUUUUAAUUUGAAUUGCAAUGUUGCCUGAUUGCAGAGUUUUGGAUUUCAAACAUUUUUGUCACAACUUUAACUACAGAUAAGCCUGCUCUCUCUCCUGCUUCAGCUCCCUCUCCUGCUCAAGCUCCAUCUCCUGCUUCAGCUCUGUCACCUUCUCCUGCCCCCUCAUUGUCUCCUGCUCCCUCAUCUGCUUCAAGUGAUGCCUCAGGCCCCACUGCAGCCAGGCCAAAAGGUAUUGAAAAAAAUAUUAACCAUAUCUUCAAUGAAAUUGUUCAAGGUCAAAUUCACAUAGAAAUUAUGAAACAAAUAGUAACAGAUUAGUUUUUUUUUUUUAUGACAGGGAGGAAGAGAAGGACGCUUCCCUCCUCGAGACUGGAGGAGCUAGAGGAGCUCCUCUUUCUGGCACUGCGGAGGCAGCAGAAUCCCCGUCCACCAACACCACCACCACCACUGCCGCAAGCGGUGGAAGGGGCUCAGGGACGUUUAUAUGAGGGACAGACAGAUAGACAGGCGCUCCGAAGCUGAGAUGGAGCGCCUGUAUUUCGUGUCCAGGCGGGAGAUGCUGCUUCCCACCCGGGCGAGGAGGUCCUCGAACUGCGCCGUCGACACAC